rnacentral:rRNA from 1 species
UGAACCGGGAUGAGCUCAAAUUUAAAAUCUGGCGUCUUUCAGGCGUCCGAGUUGUAAUCUAUAGAGGCGUUUUCCGCGCCGGACCGCGUCCAAGUCUCUUGGAAUAGAGUAUCAAAGAGGGUGACAAUCCCGUACUUGACGCGACAACCGGUGCUCUGUGAUACGUUCUCAAUGAGUCGAGUUGUUUGGGAAUGCAGCUCUAAAUGGGUGGUAAAUUCCAUCUAAGGCUAAAUAUUGGCGAGAGACCGAUAGCGAACAAGUACCGUGAGGGAAAGAUGAAAAGCACUUUGGAAAGAGAGUUAAACAGCACGUGAAAUUGUUAAAAGGGAAACGAUUGAAGUCAGUCGUGUGAAAGGUAUUCAGCCGUCUCUGGCGGUGUAUUUGCCUUUCACGGGUCAACAUCAGUUUGAUCCGGUAGAAAAAGGCGGGAGGAAGGUGGCACCCUCGGGUGUGUUAUAGCCUCCUGUCAUAUGUGCCGGACCAGACUGAGGAACGCAGCUUGCCGCAAGGCCGGGGUUCGCCCACGUACAAGCUUAGGAUGUUGACAUAAUGGCUUUAAACGACCCGUC